GUGAGUUUCUUCCAUGGCCGGACCUCAAUGCCACAAGCCGCUGCUCCGGCGAGGCCUUGGCCGCAAGGACGACGCGGUCCCCCACCUUCAUAUACUCCGAUGAAGCCAAACGCUGGGAUUCCUCCUGAACCGCAAGUUGAUAGAUGCGGCCGAGCGUGGGGACGGGUUCCAUGGCCAAGAUCUGGCUCCGAAACGGAUGUUGGUGUGCGGAAGUGAUGCUGUGCAGAAGCUAGGUUAUGUAGGAAGGCUCUGAUACCAUGUCAGAAGUUUAGAGGAUGGAAAGCGAUUGAAGAUUGGAAUUGUGUAUUGCUUUUCAUAUCAAACAAAGUGUAAUUACAGCCCUAUUUAUAGUACAAGAAGUCUAGAUGAUUAGGGAAAGAAAAUAUACAAAAUAGAGAAUAAAAGAUUCCCUAAGAUUGCCUGAUAUGCAAUAUUCUAAUUUUCCACCAAUACACCAUUCAAGAUCAAUUAAGAUCAAUCAGCAUCGGCAA